AUUGCUGUGUUCUAGGGCUGAGGAAGUUUGCAUCUGGUGAUGAGGUUGACAAGGGUCAGUGCUUGUUUAAAGGCUAGGAUGGGUGUUUCCUGGAAGACCUCUUUAAGACUUGGGUCUUCUUUUAGUAUAGGAUGCUGUCCCUAGGGGGAGUGAAUCAGGGUAACUGCCCCAGGCCCCAUGCUUUGGCAGCCCCCACAGAGCUUGGCUG